UACGAGGGGUCCUAGCGUUGUUCGGAAUCACUGGGCGUAAAGCGUAUGUAGGCGGGCUUCUAAGUCAGAUGUGAAAUCCCAUGGCUCAACCAUGGAAUUGCAUUUGAAACUGGAGGUCUUGAGUGUGGGAGAGAUUGGUAGAAUACCUAGUGUAGUGGUGAAAUACGUAGAUAUUAGGUGGAAUACCGGAGGCGAAGGCGGCCAAUUGGCCCAACACUGACGCUGAGAUACGAAAGCGUGGGGAGCAAACAGG
rnacentral:rRNA from 1 species